AUGCCAAGGAUUGUGAGCAGCUGCCGGGAGCCAGGAAGGGGCCAGGAAGGAUUCUCCCUUAGGAGCUUCGGAGUUCUUUACUCAGACUCUGCUCUUGGGAGACGGGAAGUCCACCAAGUCACUGGGUAUAAACAUCAUCCUUUUACAGAGGAGGAAACUGAGGCAGGCACAGUUUCGCUCACAAAGCAGCUAUGGGAUGCAAGCACCUAGCAGCUGUGUUGCAGCUUUCAAGAGGCAGAGCCCGUUCCCCAAGCAACGUGCGGUGGAGCAUCAGUGGUGCUGAGUGCCAGCUGAAUGCCCCCAGCAGCUCUGUGAGCCAGCGCCCAGCAAAUGACCGGAGAAAGCGGAAGGCGACGGUGCGCUACUGGGUGCUAGAAACAGAGUCACAAAAACAGAAAGGAGGGAUGCUUUUCGCAGGCAGUGGUUGCAGGGAGAAGGACCAUAGGGGAGAGGGGGAUGGGGGAAUCUCUUCCUUUACCCCUUGGCUAAACAGAUCUGUAACCGGCCUCCUCACCAGGUCCUUUAUUUCCCUCGUGUGGUCAUUGGUUGUGAGGAUACAGUUAAUCAGGGCAUUUUGCCCGAGAAAACUACUUUAACGAAUGAUAGCUCAGAAGACCACACAAAGGUUCUUCUCUUUCUCUUGUUUGAUAUAUUUUUCAAGGUAAUAGUUCUUCCUGUUUUUUGAGAGCUCCUAGAUGCAACCCAUAUUUCAUCUUUAGGGAGAGAAAUCCUCAAGUCUUCUUGCCUUUUCUUUAAUGUAUAAAUAUCACUGAAAAUAAUAGAAAAGCAUUAGCAACCUAUGCUGUAUGUUUUCAUAAACUUAAAUACUAACCAUCUGACCAAUAAUCUUAAUCCCCUUUGGAAAAGAAAAAUACCUUUUCUAAUAAAGAAGUGUCCUCAUUAAUGAUGAUUUAAAUCUCCAUGGCAUUGUUGAUUCCCCUUUGGUGGACAGGAAAGAGGCCAUUUUCAGAACACUGGUAGAUUCUAGACAAUAGUCACCUGGUCUCCUUGUGCUCCCAGCUGGCAGGAGCUGGUGUCCGAAAACGUCAGGAAUGGAGGGAUGGACAGCAGCAAAUGAAAAGGAGGAUGAACAGAACAUCUGACAGCAGCAUCUUUGCGUCGCUGGGUGUGCUGCCUUUUCCUCAGCCUUCUUCCCCAAGACAAAGCCCAUUUGUGUCCUGCUCAUCUGCCUCUUUGCUCCUAGUAUCUCUCUAAGGAUGACUCAGGGGCCCUGCUGAGCCAAGGAAUUUCUGCAGGCUGGCAUGGCAGCCAUUUGAUCCCUGUGGCAAUAGAAUGCAGAUAGAGGAAGGCGUGUGUGAGUGGAGAGAGAAGGCAAUGAGGCCUCUGUCUACAGGUUUCCAAGAAAGGCAGAAGCUUGUUUCACGCCACACAAAGGGCUGGCUGACCCAGAUAGAUUGAAAUCUUGAGAUUGCUUGCAUAUCCAUUCUAGUAGGCUCCAUCACCCAUCCCAUUAACAGCAGGAGCUACACAGAAGCAUGGAACGUGACUGAAUUGUUGCUACCUGCUGAAAUGGGUUCUAAGAAGGGCCAUUUUGUAUUCUCAAGAU
ensembl:lncRNA